rnacentral:rRNA from 1 species
GAUGAACGCUGGCGGUAUGCUUAACACAUGCAAGUCGAACGGACUCUUCGGAGUUAGUGGCGGACGGGUGAGUAACGCGUGAGAAUCUGGCUUUGGGUUCGGGACAACCACUGGAAACGGUGGCUAAUACCGGAUGUGCCGAGAGGUAAAAGAGAAAUUGCCUGAAGAUGAGCUCGCGUCUGAUUAGCUAGUUGGUGAGGUAAAGGCUCACAAAGGCAGCGAUCAGUAGCUGGUCUGAGAGGAUGACCAGCCACACUGGGACUGAGACACGGCCCAGACUCCUACGGGAGGCAGCAGUGGGGAAUUUUCCGCAAUGGGCGAAAGCCUGACGGAGCAAUACCGCGUGAGGGAAGAAGGCUCUUGGGUUGUAAACCUCUUUUCUUAGGGAAGAACAAAAUGACGGUACCUAAGGAAUCAGCAUCGGCUAACUACGUG